AGAGGACCAUUUUGUGCUAGGGCAGAUGUGGAAGGAAUCAUCUUUCAGAAGUUUUUCAUCCAGCAGUAUCUAAGCCAGUCCCUCUUCUCUGCCUUCCUUCUGUCUCCAUUUACAACUUCACUAUCCCUCCUGCCUCCUGGGACCAUAACCUUAGUUUUGUGUUCCCCAUUGCUGGGUGAGCAGCUUAUGAGAAAUAAACCACUGAGGCACAUCAAACCUUAUAAGAAGGCCAGGUCAGUAAUUCAGUGGCUGAGUUUUUCCAAUUCAUUCUCUUUCAAGUGGCUUGUCUGAAAACAAACAACAGAAAUAAAACCUUAUUGUGUCUCUUGUUGCUAUUUAACAAAACUAUAGAAAGACCUUUUGCCUUAAUAAUGCCAGUGACAUGCAUUUUGUUUAUCUUUCUAAUUAUUUAUUUAUAGUUGACAUGAAAAUGCUUCCCACUAGACAUCGCUGACUACAUGAAACCAAGUUGCGUGUUGCCUUUGUGAGACUUUUAUUAUAGCAUGAUUAAAAUAGUGCAUUAAUUAUGCAUCCUGCUAUAAAACUGGAUACAGCAGAGGAAAUAAAUACAUAUUAAUAAUACAUUAGUUAUUAAUCUCUAUAUUUGUUGCCUG